GGCCCCCUCACUCUAAUUGUAUUUGAUCCUUGCUUGCCUUCCAUCGCAUGUACUGACAGAGUCACCUCAUCCAUGGGACUGAAAUUGUCACCCUCAGACACAUCAUGCCAUGCUUCACCUCCAUCAUCCACUUCCUGCCCUUCCAACUGAAAUGUAGCUCCAUCAUUUUCACAUCCUUGCACAGCCAUGAGGGAUUUCUGCUGCUUGCAUUGUUGUCCAGGGAAGUACUUC
rnacentral:misc_RNA from 1 species